rnacentral:lncRNA from 1 species
AAUGAAGACUGAUCCCGUUCAAACCAUAUGCAGUGUUGUUGUAGAUGUGUCAGUCCCAAGAUAUUAGAGAGAUAAGGAGGGUGAGAUAAUAUCCUUUAUGGGACCAACUUCUGUUGGUGAGAGAGACAAGCUUUCAAGCAACACGGAGCUCUUCUUCAGGUCACGGAAACUCACUCAGCGUGCAAAAAUGAACACUGUCUUCCUUGCGCACAGUUUAACAGUGCUGAGUCUCAUGAAUGGAUGGUUAAAAGCAUCAGUCAAACAUCAGGCUACAAACAAUGGCAUUUCAGAGUCAUGUACUGUAUUACUGACAGUUAUCUUUCUGUAAUAUACACAGGUUUUUGGAAUGCAACCCACACAGUAGUCACUAUUUCCCCAGCCAGGAUUGUUGAGCCCGCCAUUCACCACCCUAAGAAUGAUAAUAUGCUAACAGAGUGUGUGCAGCACUCACCAAAACCCUGAGAGAUGACAGUCACCGGUGGCUUCCCAGGACACUAAAUAGGAAGAAGUAGUGACAUGACUCAGUAACACCAAGAGCCACAUUGUGAGAGUUGAAAACUGCGUGGGGCAUGCAAUGAAAGCAGCGAAGCAGCAGGGGCAACACUAUCUAUGGACAAGGACAGUUAGAUUACAGAUUUAACACACACACAAAAUUACGCAGCAACAGCGAGAUGGCUGGAAACCUUGGAAAACCACCAACUGAACAGAACGUCAGUGUUUGGAGAGUCCUGUUUGGGAGCUGGCCACAGAUAGCGUGCAGUAAACUGUUGCCAGACGUGUUGCUUAUUGAUUUUUUCUGAAGAGCCCAUUUGAACUGGAUGUGCAUUCUGAAUCCCCAAUGAGAGUCCCAGCUGGAGGAGGCAAUUCUGGAGGCACUAUACAUAUUACACUUUAGGACUCCAGGGACCGGGAUAGGUUUUUACAAGCAGCUAAAAUGAAGAAAGAGAUCAUAUGGGAAGGUGCUAGGCUCCUAUCGUUUCCGGACAUAAGUCCUAUAACCCAGGGCAAAAGGGAAGAAUUAACUGUGGUUUUAAAAAAAAAAAAGUUGUGAUAUAAAAUGUGUCUGCAUGAGUCUCUCUAGCCUGCCAAACGGCACAUUGUGCACAGUGAGAAAACUGACAUCUUUCAGAAAGUAGACGCAGCUUACAACAAGUCACUGUCGAAAGCAAAGAAGACAAGAGAGAAACUGUAAGAAGUUAGUCAGAGACUAAGGCCUGUGAUUUACCGCCCACCCCAGGGCUUGGAGUGCUGAAACUCUCCCUAUAAAUUAUAAAUGUAUAUAAAUUAAUAAAUGAACACAGUCACCACUUCUGGGGACCA